GAUGCGAAAAAUAGAAGAAGAUAAAGGAGACGUAUAUUUUUAUAAUAGUUCACAAAAAAUUGAUCCUAUUUCUAUUUCUCCCUUACAAAAAGAAUUUACCUCAGUAAAGUCGAGGACUUAAUCCACUAUUUCCAUAUAUAGCAUAAAGGUAUUCUUCACUCUGCCUUUUUAGGCGUUUAGUAUUUUUCUCUAGCCUCUCCAAAUUGUCUUCAUCAAAACCUUCUUCAACUUAUGGCAUCUUGCCAUUGAGGUUCACGAGAGUCGUGGUACCUUUUCACGUACCUCUUAGGGGUGAGAAGGUUGUUGCCACUAUCGGGCUAAUUUACAUCAGUUUUAGUUUGUGUCUGAUUUGACACAUAGUUUGUUUUUCGGAUUCUUACUCUCAUUGAGAGUAUGUUAUAGAUCAAGUCUUAUAUCAGUACAAGUGUGAGAGAACUAGAUAUAUGAACAAGUAGUAGAUUUAAGAUGUUGAUCAAAGGAAACACAAUUGCUUCGUCUUCUUUGGAAUGUUGAAUUUCAUCAUAGCGUUUACUUCUUUUAUAUCAUUGAUUUCCAUCAGUACAGAGAAUCACUCGUUUGUCAAGCUUAUUAAAGGCAAUUGAUUACUUGCUUUAUUAAUCGUAUCAGAGGUAGACGAGCUAAGAAUAACUGAAACAUAAUGUAUCAUGUAUUUCUAGAGUCACUAGAACUAGAACAUUGCUUGCGUUAUAAGAGUCAGUCAAAACACAACAUUGCUUUGCAUCGCUGGAAGCGUGUGUUACAACACUUGCGUCAAAAUCAAACAAAUUUAAUGAAGUAGAGUCUUGUUGUUCCUUUGUCUUCAUACAAUCACCAGAGGAUAUAACUUAAAUCAAGGUAACAUUUGACUUUGAACUAAUACUUGCAAUAUUACGUCUUCCUCAUAUAGUAGACAUAGUUACUUGUAUAUUAGGAUAUAAUAUUCUUUGUCUAUAAGAAACAUUUAGAUUAUUGUCUCUAUUUUACUUGGAACUUAUGCUACUCUAAUAUGAAUAGUCAUUAAUAUAACUCUUUGUGUUCUAACUUAAUAUGCACACUUUGCAAAUACAGAUACGAGAUGAUUAUUCUUUAUUUAUUUGUUUUUGUUAUCUUAAAACAUCUACCAGAGAAUUGUAGCGAAAUCCCAUUUUGCACUAACACACCCUAUUAAAGUUUCUAACUCAUAGUUUAGCUCACUAAAUUUUAAGUGUUCUCGUUAGUCAAUUAUUAUACAAAGGGCUUCACUCACAUCUAACAAGUCUUAAGAUGAUUUGUGGGAAAUACGAUUUUUACGUUUGAUUGACAUUAUUUUACACUCAUGAAAUCAAGCGGAGCAUAAAAUAAAAGUUACAUAAUUAACUAAAAAUUUAGGAAUAAAAACGAAGAUAAAAACGACACCAAAUCGAUAGUUAGAUAAAGUAUCACCGACGCGUCGAAGCACUGACAAGAUUCGACGUCAACUUUAUCUAAAUGUGUGAAUAAGUAGAGCUUCUUGAAAGUUUCGACGAGAGGAAUCCAAAAAUGAUAUCCUUUUUUUCCAAUGGUGAAUACAGAGGCCGACAAAGGAUAAUACAGUCCGUCCAAAUAAGAAAAUGUGACUGUUUCUUAAAAGAGAAUAUGAGUAGAGCUUCUUCAAAGUUUCAACGAGAAGAAUCAACAAACGAUGUCCAUUUUUUUCAAUGAUCAACACGGAGGCCAAAAAAGGAUAAUACAGUCCGUCCAUUUUUACAAAGAUAAUUUUUAAGACAAUAAAAGAGAAUAUGCAUACCGAAACUAUAUUAUAUUAUUUUUACCCAAGGACAAGAAAACUUGCUUGAUUGGAGAAAUUUUUUUUUGGUUUUUUUUUUAUUCCUAAAUUCAAUUCAAGUCCCCAUCUUUUUGUUUCUUUAACAAAAAAUUUAACUUAAUUGAAAAAAAAAUCAUAGCUGAAUUAAAAAAUUAAAUUUGAACGGACACUAUCUUAAAUAAGUGUUACGUUUUAAAUCGUAAUUUCUAUAUCAAUAUUUACAUGUCCUUUUGAAGGUGCUUUUGCCAAAAGGUUUGCCUUAAUUUAAUUUGAAAUUUGACUCUUGGCACAAAAUAAGGACAUCUUAAUUCCAUAUAUAUAUAGAGAAUACUACUUUAUUAUUUAGCAAUAUUGCAUUGUUGUAAUACUCCAAGAAGUGACAUGGGUUACCCCAAACAUGCAACUUACUUUUAUAAAAACGGAUUAGGCAGAAUAAGUUUGAAUAAUAAAUAAAUAAAUAAGAUGCGAAAAAUAGAAGAAGAUAAAUGAGACGUAUAUUUUUAUAAUAGUUCACAACAAAUUGUUCCUAUUUCUAGUUCCCUUUACAAAGAGAUUUUACUUCAGUAAAGUCGGGGACUUAAUCCACUAUUUCCAUAUAUAGCAUAAAAGUAUUAUUUACUCUACCUUUUUAGGCUUUUAGUAUUUUUCUCUAGCCUCUCCAGGUUGUCUUAAUCAAAAUCUUCUUCAACUUUAUGGCAUCUUGCGAUUGAGGUUCACGAGAGUCGUGGUACCUUUUCACGUACCUCUUAGGGGUGAGAAGGUUUUUGCCACUAUCGGGCUAAUUUACAUCAGUUUUAGUUUGUGUCUGAUUUGACACAAAGUUUGUUUUUCGGAUUCUAACUCUCAUUGAGAGUAUGUUAUAGAUCAAGUCCUAUAUUAUUACAAGUGUGAGAGAACUAGAUAUAUGAACAAGUAGUAGAUUCAAGAUGUUGAUCAAAGGAAAAACAAUUGCUUCGUCUUCUUUGGAAUGUUGAAUUUCAUCAUAGCAUUUACUUCUUUUAUAUCAUUGAUUUCCUUCAGUGCAGAGAAUCACUCGUUUGUCAAGCUUAUUAAAGGCAAUUGAUUACUUGCUUUAUCAAUCGUAUUAGAGGUAGACGAGCUGAGAUUAACUGAAACAUAAUGUAUCAUGUAUUUUUAGAGUCACUAGAACUAGAACAUUGCUUGUGUUAUAAGAGUCAGUCAAAACGCAACAUUGCUUUGCGUCGAUGGAAGCGUGUGUUACAACACUUUGGUCAAAAUCAAACAAAUUGAAUGAAGUAGAGUCUUGUUAUUCCUCUGUCUUCGUCCAAUCACCAGAGGAUAUAACUUAAAUCAAGGUAACAUUUGAGUUUGAACUAAUACUUGCAAUAUUAUGUCUUCCUCCAAUAGUAGACAUAGUUACUUGUAUAUUAGGAUAUAAUAGUCUGUAUAUAAGAAACACUUAGAUUAUUGUCUCUAUUUUACUUGGAACUUAUGUUACUCUAAGAUGAAUAGUCAUUAAUAUAACUCUUUGUGUUCUAACUUAAUAUGCACACUUUGCAAAUACAGAUGCAUGACGAUUAUUCUUUAUUUGUUUGUUUUUGUUAUCUUAAAACAUCUACCAGAGGAUUGUAGCAAAAACCCAUUUUGGACUAACACACCCUAUAAAAGUUUCUAACUCAUAUUUUAAACUCACUAAAUUUUAAGUGUUCUCGUUAGUCGAUUAUUAUACAAAGGACUUCAGUCACAUGUAGUAAGUCUUAAGAUGAUUUGUGGGAAAUACGAUGUUUACGUUCCAUUGACUUAUUUUACACUCAUGAAUUCAAACUCAAGCUCACAUCAUACAUUAAUUGACACUUUAGUAAAAUAUGUGAAUCACCAAAAGUUCCACACCAACGCCAGCCCUACAACGUGCAAUAGAUGUGUCUGAAUGUGUCUGAAAUCAACGAAGAAUUCAUAGGAUCACCAAAAUACGACUGGAAAAACAAGCAGAGCAUAAAAUCAAAGUUACAUAAUUAACUAAAAAUUAAGGAGUAAGAACGAAGAUAAAAACGGCACCAAACAGAUAGUUAGAUAAAGUAUCACUGACGCGCCGAGGCACAUACAAGAUCUGACGUCAACUUUAUCGAAUUAUGCGAAUCAGUAGAGCUUCUUGAAAGUUUCGACGAGAGGAAUCCAAAAACGAUAUCAUUUUUUUUCCAAUGAUGAAUACGGAGGUCGAAAAAGGAAAAUAUAGUCCGUCUAAAUAAGAAAAUGUGAUUGUCUCUUAAAAGAGAAUAUGAGUAGAGCUUCUUCAAAGUUUCAACGAGAAGAAUCAAAAAACGCUGUCCAUUUUUUUCAAUGAUCAACACGAAGGCCAAAAAAGAAAAUUAAGUCCGUCCAUUUUUACAAAGAUUAUUUUUUAGACAAUAAAAGAGAAUAUGCAACCGAAACUAUAUUAUAUUAUUUUUACCCAAGAACAAGAAAACUUGCUUGAUUGGAGAAAUUUUUUUUUUUUUGGUGUUUUUUUUAUUCCUAAAUUAAAUUUAAGUCCCCAUCUUUUUGUUUCUUUAAUAAAAUUUUAACUUAAUUAAUAACAAAAACAAAAAAAUUCAUAGCUAAAUUAAAAAAUUAAAUUUGAACGGACACUAUCUAAAUAAGUGUUACGUUUUAAAUCGUAAUUUCUAUAUCAAUAUUUACAUGUCCUUUUGAAGUUGCUUUUGCCAAAAGGUUUGCCUUAAUUUAAUUUGAAAUUUGACUCAUGGCCCAAAAAAAGGACAUCUUCCUUCCAUAUAUAUAGAGAAUACUACUUUAUUAUUUAGCAACAUUGCAUUGUAAUCCUCCAAGAAGUGACAUGGCUUACUCAAAUUCAUACGUGUUUCUUGGUUUGGGACUUUUUAUUAUUCUCUCUUCUCAAGUUCUAGCUCAAGUUCCUCUUCUUCUUCCUCCUCCACCUCCACCUCCUCCUCCUACAAUUAUUUGUAAGUCAUGCUAGACUAUAAUGUAUUUUUCUACGCAAAUGCACAUGUUUAAAAAAAUAUGAUUCAAUAUAUGUAUAAAUAUAACACACAUUCUAAUGAAACAUAUUAAAAUGAAAUUAAUAUAGUACUUAAGUUCUAGUUCAAUGGGUAAAUGGAAAUAAUGUUAGGUUAAACAUUUUGUCUUAGAUUUUAACCUAAGACUUCAGAGUUGCGUGUGUUAAUUAUGAUGGAAUUUACCAUUUCUUCUAAAAUAAAAUAAAAAUGAUAUUAUUAUAAAACUAGGACCCUCAAAUUAAACUUAUUAAAAUAAUAUUAAUAUUAAACUUAUAACUUUAUAAUUAUUUGGUUUCAAUUUUAGAUCCUGAAAUUGUAUUAUAUUUUAUUUUAACUCUUAUAAGUUUUUUUUUAUUUGAAUUAAGUCCUUGCAAAUAUAAAAAAUGUCGUUUUAAAUUCUUAAGUUAGUUUAUGGGAUCACAUGGUGCGACAUUAUAGGAUCACAUUUGAUCUCAAGGACUAAAUAUAAACUUUUUAAAAUUUGCUGAGAUUAAAAUCAAACAAAAACACUUAGAAUGACUAAAACCAAAAAAUAAUAUAACUGCAUGAACUAAAAUCAUAUUCAGACCUCAAACUUUUAUUAAGGUAUACGAUUUUUUAAGAAGUCAGAAAAUCAUACUUAUAAGGUUUAUAUAUAAAUUUUUAUUUCACUUUUACAUUUCUUGAUAUAAUGCAUUCUCCAAUAGAUAUUUUAAACACAAUAUGGAAACCCCAAUGACAACUGUGCAUAGUUAUGCUGGCCUGAUGCAUGAAGUGACACUUCUAGAAGCUGAAGCUGAUCGGAUGACUUUCCGUGCAAAUUUGAUAAAGAAGAAUGUUGCUAAAUCUAUUCAUCAAAGCCGUAAAUUUCUAAAUCAUUUAUUUGAUGAAGAAGAUAAAGUUUCCAAAAGUAAUGAGGAAGAUAAAGUUUCCAUAACUGAUAAGGAAGAUAAAGUUUCCAGAAAUGACAAGGAAGACAAAAUUUCAAAUAAUGAAGAGAAAAACAAAGUUUUAAAAAAUAAGGAGAAAGAGAAGGUUUUUAAAAGUGACAAGGAAGAUAAAGUUUUCAAAAAUGAUAAUAAAAAUACAAUUACAAAUUAAAAAUAAUGAAAAAAAAAUGAAGUUUACAAAUGUGACGAAGAAGAUAAACUUUCUUUAAUAUUUCCCAUGUAUUAAUAGCAUGCAAGAAUGUAUAUAUUAACUGUAUAAAUAAAAGGGUGAAAGUAGACAUUAUACUUAUAACUUGCCAUAUAUAUACAUCAAAACAUGAGUUAUAUAUAGUUCAUAUCAAUAUUUGGGUAAUGAUAUAUUGAUAUCAGAUGUCAAACAUUACAAACUUACACCUUUAAUACUUUGAAGAAGAUGAAUUAAAUUAUAUCAAUCCAAUUUGUCGAAUAAUCUUGAAUUAUGUAGAUGAUUUUAUAUACAAAACUUCAAACAAUUUAGAAACUCGUUGGUAAAAGUUUUAGUAAUAGAUAUUGUAACAUUCUGAUUUAAUUCAAACUAUUAUUAAUGAAAUUACAAACGUGAAAAAUGUGGAUUAUUAUUAUUUAAAACAAGGCUAAAAUAAAAUAAUUAUUUGAUCUAAACCAAAUAAUAAAUUUUCUUUUAUUGACUUCCACAAUAAAAACAUAGUCAUUACAAUUAAUUACAAACAAACAAGUAGUUGUGUAAAUAAAAGAACGAAAUCCUAAAGUCAAGACUCUUGGGUUUUUUCUACCCAAGAGAAAACCUAGUUGGUCACAAUUUUGAAUGCUUGUGAAAAAUUCUCAAGGCUAACACCAGUGUUAAAAAGACAAAUCAGAGCCUCCAAUUACACUAUCGUUUUACAAUUUUAAUAAUUUCCACAUAAUUUAUAUCCUUUUUUUUUAUUCAGAUAACUUAUAUACUUUCAUAAAAAUAGAGUUUGUGAUUAUCAAAUAUAUAAAUUUUCUCUUAAAUCAUAGUUAAUAUUAUAGACCCGGAACAGUUGUAAAAUGGUGAUUAGUUCUACUUUGAUUAGUAAUAAUUUUUUCAUCUCUAAAAAAAUUGUUAAGUUUUUAUGAUUAAAUUUUUGCAAAACAUUGUUUCUAUCAUAUUAUUUCUAGAGUAAAAAUUCUUAUUUAAUUAAAAACUCUAUAAUUUUUUUUCAAUAUGAUGUAUUCUUCUUAUAACCUUACAUAUUUACAAAAUUAAUACAUUAAUAAAUUAUUUAUAUCUUAUUCAAAAAAAUUUAAACCCCAUGCAAAACAUGGGUAAUAGUCUAAUAAUAUAUUAAAAUAGACUCCUAAAUACUAUUGUAACACAUCAUCUGAUAUUGUGUCAUUUCAUUCAAUAAUUGUCACCACAACAAAAAUUUGAUGUGCCAUAUGUAAUAUUAUAUAUAACUAUUCAUGUGCCAUCAUUAUUGGUAAUAAUUUUUCUAUGGUUUUAACUCCAAUUAAUAUAUUGGUCCUUUCAAUGCUUAAAUAUAUAAAUGACAACAAUUUGUGGAAGUUAUUUUGUAUCAUAUAUUGCUUAUGUUUAUUUGGAAAUUGGAAGACAAUGACACAUAAACUUUGGUCUCUAUGCAACUUUUCUAUUUAUAAGUUGUUUAGAUUGAUUGGGGACAAUUUUGUAAUUUCUAGCAUCUAAUUUUUUAUUCUUUUUAUAUUUAUUUUACGUGCUUUUUAUAAUUAAUGUUUAUAUAUUUGAGUUUUAAUUCUAACUAUAAUAUGUUAUGAUAUCUUUAUGAUCAAUUAUUGUGUAUACAUUUGGUGCAAAUACUUUUGAACAAAUUGUGCUUAUAUUUUAUUAUGAAUUAAGUUACGUGUUGUAAUACCCCAAAUUUUAUAAUAAAUAUUUUCUUAAUGAAAUAGAAUUUUGGAUAAUUAAUUUGGUGUUAAAACUAUUUUAGAAUAUAUGUGGAUAAAUCUUGUGACUAACUUUCAUUAUAUGGGAGCUUUCUAUGAUACGCUAAUUUUGUAUAUAUUUGAAUAAAUAAGUGAUAUAAAUAACAAAUAUAAUAUUUUAUAAUUUUAUAUAUUUUUAUAUUUUUUUCUAUAAAUAAUAGUAUUUUAGUGUAAAUAUUUUAAAGAAUAAGAUUUUAGGCGACUCUACAUGUAUAUGUGUGUUCGCAGUUAAUGUGAUAUUUUCUUGUAUGUUUGACUGAUGUUAAGUGUGCACAUAUUUAAUUAUUUAUAAACAUAUGUUAUUUUAAUUAUUUAUUUUACAAAUAAUUAUCUUGAUAUAUUAAUAUUUUUAAUAUUUAUUUUCUUUAUUUUUAUAUAGUUGCACAUAUUUAUUUUUAUUUAUUUUAUCAUUUUGACUAUUCUAUAAAGAUAAUGUUUUUUUAUGUGAUUAUUUUGAAAGAUGUUAUAGUAGUAAUUAUAGUUAUUAUUUUGAAUAUGAGCGUUUUGGUUAAAAUUCGAUUUAUUAUUUUAAGGAUAGAUAAUAUUAUGUUAAAAUGAGUAUUUUGGAGAAAAGUUUCUAGAAAAGUAAAAUAAACUAUUUAUUUAUUGUAGGCUUUUAGAAAUACUAGAAAAAUGAAUUUUGGACAAAACGACUGUUUACACCCCUAUUUUCUACUUAUGCAUAUUACUUUAGGCUAUUACUUGUUGGACUUUCUCUUUCCUACACCUGCGAAAUUGCUCAUUACACCUCUAUUCCUGCAAAAGACACAUACUAGACUCUCGUGUGUUGGGUCUUACAGCCUGUUUUACUCAUGUAAAAUUUAUCAUGUAACCCCAAAAAAAAAAAUUAAAAUGUCAAAAAUACCCUCAAUUAUUUUUUUAUGAUUUCACACAAUCUAAGGUAAAUUUUUUUCACCCUUUUUUUAUUUCCGGAGUCGUAAAAAAGUUUUCCGGUAUGUUCAAUUUUUCUGGUAACUAUCGGAAUACUUGUAAUAAGAUUUCGGGUACGUAAGGUAUAUUCCGGAAAACAUAAAACGAAGUUUUCCGGUACAAAAGGGAAAAGUUGUGUACCGGAAAACUUAAUUGACAAGUUAUCCGGUACAAAAUUGGCUUCCGGAAAACUUCAUAUACAAGUUUUUCGGUACAUAACUAUUUUUUAAAAUUUAUUUUUAAGUUUUUUGAAUUUUAUUAAUUUAUUUUAAAUGUUAACGGAUAUGGAUAAACUAUUACUAUUAAUGGAUAAAACAUGCGUCGAUACUACAAAUAUUUUUGACACAUAUCAGGUAAGAAUAAAUAUAAUUAAUAUUGUAAAAAUAUAUUAUUGUUAUUAAUUAUAAUUUAUUUUAUUUCAGAUAUUUGAUACAAGGGAUGCUGUUGUGAAUUGGGUAAAAGAAAUCGGUAUAAAAAUUAAUGUUAUUGUUAUUAUCAGAAGAUCAGAUAUAGAGACGGGAGAGAGAGUAAGGAGAAAUAAAUUACUAUUAAUUUGUGACAAAGGGAGAAAAUACAAGUGUGCUGCUACUUCAACUCGAAGUUCAACAAAAAAGUGUGAUUGUCCUUUCAAGCUUAGAUCAAAACCAUUAAAAGAUGGUUCAGGAUGGAUAGUUAAAGUAAUUUGUGGAAUUCACAUCCAUGAAUUACCUGAUACUUUGGAGGGGCAUGCAUAUGUUGGACGCUUAGAUGAAGAAGAAAGAAAGCAUGUUCAUGACUUAACAAAAUAUAAUGGAGCAUCGAGACACAUAUUACUCUCAUUGAAAGACCGAGAUAAGAGUAAUGUUACUAAAAUAUCAUAAAUAUAUAAAUAGAGGAGUAUGAUUCGAUUGAACGUGAGAGGUAAUAGAACAAAGAUGCAACAUUUAUUCACGUUAAUUGAAGAUGAAAAAUAUGUGUGUCGGAAUAGAAAGUGUGAAGACACUGAUGUUAUGAAAGAUAUUUUUUUGGGCACAUCUUGAUUCAGUGAAGACUUUGAUGUUAUGAGAGAUAUUCUUUACUCUUACACGGUAAAGUUCUAAAUCAAAAGACUGAGCUCUGAUACCAAUUGAAGUAGUUGGAAAAUACAAGACACGUGAGUUUGAAUUGUGUUUGCCAUUUUUGAAGGCUAUUUAGACAUCCUUACACAAAUUGUUCUUUAUCAAAACAUGCAACUUACUUUUAUAAAAAAAGGUUUAGACAGAGUAAGGUUGAAUAAUAAAUAAAUAAAUAAAUAAAUAAAUAAAUAAAUAAAUAAGAUGCGAAAAAUAGAAGAAGAUAAAAGAGACAUAUUUUUAUAAUAGUUCACAACAAAUAGUUCCUAUAUCUAGCACUCCCUUUACAAAGAGAUUUUACCUUAGCACAGUCGAUGACUUAAUCCACUAUUUCCAUAAAUAACAUAAAAGUAUUCUUUACUCUGCCUUUUUAGGCUUUUAGUAUUUUUCUCUAGCCUCUACAGGUUGUCUCCAUCAAAACCUUCUUCAACUUUCUGGCAUCUUGCCAUUAAGAUUCAUGAGAGUCGUGGUACCUUUUCACGUACCUCUUAGGGGUGAGAAGGUUGUUGUCUGAUUUGACACAAAGUUUGUUUUUCGAAUUCUAACUCUAAUUGAGAGGGUGUUACAGAUCAACUCCUCUAUCAGUACAAGUGUCAGAAAACAAGAUAUAUGAACAAGUAGUAGAUUCUAGAUGUUGAUCAGAUGAUGCACAAUUGCUUCGUCUUCUUUGGAAUGUCGAAUUUCAUCAUAGCAUUUACUUCUUUUAUAUCAUUGAUUUCCUUCAGUGCAUACGACAUAAGUUAGAAUUAUAUGAUCAGAAACUUGAAAUGAUUAUCAGUGGCAGAGAAUCACUCGCUUGUCAAGCUUAUUAGAGGCAAUUGAUUACUUGCUUUAUCAAUCGUAUCAGAGGUAGACGAGCCGAGAAUAGCUGAAACAUAAUGUAUCAUGUAUUUAUAGAGUCACUAGAACUAGAACAUUGCUUGUGUUAUAAGAGUCAGUCAAAACACAACAUUGCUUUGCGUCGUUGGAAGCGUGUGUUACAACACUUGCGUCAAAAUCAAACAAAUUGAAUGAAGUAGAGUCUUGUUGUUCCUCAGUCUUCGUACAAUCACCAGAGGAUAUAACUUAAAUCAAGGUAACAUUUGACUUUGAACUAAUACUUGCAAUAUUACGUUUUCCUCCAAUAGUAGACAUAGUUACUUGUGUAAUAGGAUAUAAUAUUCUUUGUGCAUAAGAAACACUUAGAUUAUUGUCUCUAUUUUACUUAGAACUUAUGCUACUCUAAUAUGAAUAGUCAUUAAUAUAACUCUUUGUGUUCUAACUUAAUAUGCACACUAUGCAAAUACAGACACGAGAUGAUUAUUCUUUAUUUGUUUGUUUUUGUUAUCUUAAAAUAUCUAUCAGAGGAUUGUAGCGAAAUCCCAUUUUGCACUAACACACCCUAUUAAAGUUUCUAACUCAUAGUUUAAGCUCACCAAAUUUUAAGUGUUCUCGUUAGUCAAUUAUUAUACAAAGGGCUUCACUCACAUCUAACAAGUCUUAAGAUGAUUUGUGGGAAAUACGAUUUUCACGUUUGAUUGACAUUAUUUUACACUCAUGAAAUCAAGCGGAGCAUAAUAUUAAAGUAACAUAAUUAACUAAAAAGUUAGGAAUAAAAACGAAGAUAAAAACGACACCAAAUCGAUAGUUAGAUAAAGUAUCACCGAUGCGUCGAAGCACUGACAAGAUCCGACGUCAACUUUAUCGAAAUAUGCGAAUCAGUAGAGCUGAUUGAAAGUUUCGACGAGAGGAAUCCAAAAACGAUAUCAUUUUUUUCCAAUGAUGAAUACGGAAGUCGAAAAAGGAAAGUAUUGUCCGUCUAAAUAAGAAAAUGUGAUUGUUUCUUAAAAGAGAAUAUGAGUAUAGCUUCUUCAAAGUUUCAACGAGAAAAAUCAAAAAACGAUGUCCAUUUUUUUCAAUGAUCAACACAUAGGCCGAAAAAAAAAAUACAGUCCGUCCAUUUUUACAAAGAUUAUUUUUAAGACAAUAAAAGAGAAUAUGCAUACCGAAACUAUAUUAUAUUAUUUUUACCCAAGGACAAGAAAACAUGCAUGAUUGGAGAAAAUUUUUUUGGUUUUUUUUUAUUCCUAAAUUAAAUUCAAGUCCCCAUCUUUUUGUUUCUUUAACAAAAAAUUUAACUUAAUUGAAAAAAAAAAAUCAUAGCUGAAUUAAAAAAUUAUAUUUGAACGGACACUAUCUAAAUAAGUGUUACGUUUUAAAUCGUAAUUUCUAUAUCAAUAUUUACAUGUCCUUUUGAAGUUGCUUUUGCCAAAAGGUUUGCCUUAAUUUAAUUUGAAAUUUGACUCUUGGCCCAAAAAAAGGACAUCUUCUUUCCAUAUACAUAGAGAAUACUACUUUAUUAUUUAGCAAUAUUGCAUUGUUGUAAUACUACAAGAAGUGACAUGGGUUACUCAAAACAUGCAAGUUACUUUUAUAAAAAAGGAUUAGGCAGAGUAAGGUUGAAUAAUAAAUAAAUAAAUAAAUAAAUAAAUAAAUAAGAUGCGAAAAAUAGAAGAAGAUAAAGGAGACGUAUAUUUUUAUAAUAGUUCACAACAAAUUGUUCCUAUUUCUAUUUCUCCCUUUCAAAAAGAUUUUACCUCAGUAAAGUCGAGGACUUAAUCCAUUAUUUCCAUAUAUAGCAUAAAGGUAUUCUUUACUCUGCCUUUUUAGGCUUUUAGUAUUUUUCUCUAGCCUCUCCAGAUUGUCUUCAUCAAAAC
rnacentral:lncRNA from 1 species